rnacentral:misc_RNA from 1 species
GAUGAAGAACGUAGCGAAAUGCGAUAAGUAAUGUGAAUUGCAGAAUUCAGUGAAUCAUCGAAUCUUUGAACGCACAUUGCGCCCCCUGGUAUUCCGGGGGGCAUGCCUGUUCGAGCGUCAUUUCACCACUCAAGCCUCGCUUGGUAUUGGGCAACGCGGUCCGCCGCGUGCCUCAAAUCGACCGGCUGGGUCUUCUGUCCCCUAAGCGUUGUGGAAACUAUUCGCUAAAUGGUGCUCGGGAGGCUACGCCGUAAAACAAACCCAUUUCUAAGGUUGACCUCGGAUCAGGUAGGGAUACCCGCUGAACUUAAGCAUAUCAAUAAGCGGAGGA